AGUCGGACGCAUCUCUCUGACAACCUCAUGACGUCUCGCAAAUAAUGGAAAUUAAAAAUAAUUGCAAAUUGGAAAAUAGAAAAUUAUACAUGUGACAUGGGGGUAGAGAGAGAGACUGAGUCCGGACGUCUCCAUUUCGCGGGCAUUUUAAAUGUAAAUGUUCGGUCCGAUUUGCAUCACUUUUAUUAUCCGGGAGAUGUAAUAUAACGGAAUCCUCUGGAUCCUCCUCAGUCUUGGAUGGAUGAUCGUCAUUAAACAAAAGGUUUCUUAUUUCACAUGGCAACCAAGAUAUUCGCUCUAGUAUCGUAAGUUGAUCUCGGAACCGAGGGUAUUUUGGCAGACCUGAAACUUAAUAUGCUAUAUGUUUCACCGAUGUUUUUUACUGGGCCGCAAA